UGUGGAUAUCUUGAGGUAUUUGUGCACGGAGCAAAACAUCAAGUAUUUCUAUGAUAUCAAGGAUCUAAGUAAUUUCAAGGCCAACCCAGGUUAUAAGGGCGUAUGCCAUGUUGCUCUUGCUCAAGAAGGUCAUUGCAGGCCAGGGGAGGUUCUGCUGGGUACAGAUUCUCAUACAUGUACUGCUGGAGCUUUUGGACAAUUUGCUACUGGAAUCGG